GACGAACGCUGGCGGCGUGCCUAAUACAUGCAAGUCGAACGCUGAAGAGAGGAGCUUGCUCUUCUUGGAUGAGUUGCGAACGGGUGAGUAACGCGUAGGUAACCUGCCUUGUAGCGGGGGAUAACUAUUGGAAACGAUAGCUAAUACCGCAUAACAAUGGAUGACACAUGUCAUUUAUUUGAAAGGGGCAAUUGCUCCACUACAAGAUGGACCUGCGUUGUAUUAGCUAGUAGGUGAGGUAAUGGCUCACCUAGGCGACGAUACAUAGCCGACCUGAGAGGGUGGUCGGCCGGACUGGGACUGAGACACGGCCCAGACGCCUACGGGAGGCAGCAGUAGGGAAUCGUCAGCAAUGGGGGCAACCCUGACCGAGCAGCGCCGCGGGAGUGAAGAAGGUUGUCGGAUCGUGAAGCUCGGUUGUAAGUCAAGAACGGGUGUGAGAGUGGAAAGUUCACACUGUGACGGUAGCUUACCAGAAAGGGACGGCUAACUACGUG
rnacentral:rRNA from 1 species